rnacentral:rRNA from 1 species
UACGAAGGGGGCUAGCGUUGUUCGGAUUUACUGGGCGUAAAGCGCACGUAGGCGGAUCGUUAAGUUGGGGGUGAAAUCCUGGAGCUCAACUCCAGAACUGCCUUCAAUACUGGCGAUCUAGAGUCCGGAAGAGGUGAGUGGAACUCCUAGUGUAGAGGUGGAAUUCGUAGAUAUUAGGAAGAACACCAGUGGCGAAGGCGGCUCACUGGUCCGGUACUGACGCUGAGGGACGAAAGCUAGGGGAGCGAAAGGG